UAAAAAUUCCUCUUUUAUAUUUUUAAAAGAUAAGACUCAAAAUCAAUUAUAGUAAUUUAUAGAAAACCAAAAUAUCGCGAAACAUUUUUUUUCCACAAAGAAAGAAUCAUACCACUAUUGCGCAUGUCUCAGAAGACAUGUUAGAGCUGUGCGGCCUCACAAGUUCUUCCCGUUUGUUUGAAGAUCUGGUAUAGUUUGUUCGAUUCGCUGGAGAGCAAGGCUUGGAGUUAUUUCGAGAUAUGUGGUACAAACAACCGUCUGUAGCAUGUUCAUGAUCACGUCAAGUAGUGGACUUCUUUUGUCGAAUUUACUCCGUAGAAGGCGAAGAAUAUUCUAUCGGCUGAAAAAGUGAUUGCUAUCGUUUUCUGGGAUUUACAAGAUGUGAAUUCCAUCGACUACUGCGAGAAGAACAAUUAUUGGGCUGACUCCAAGCUGAAUUGCAGAAAAAAAAGGCGCCAUAUGCCGGAGAGAUAAAAAUGCUUUUCCAUCAUGGCAACGUACCGACUCUCACCACCGCCGUCGCAAUGGCCAUUAGUAUUGCUGCCACAUACGCUGUUCUCUUCAGAUUUAGCCCUGUGUUUACAAAUUUAAAAGGGUCACUAGCCGGAAAGAAAUUUAAGUCGAAUGUGGAUGCUACCGCCGCCAUUGAGGCUUACUGUACAGACCUCGAUACAACUUAUUGAAAAAUAAAUCGAAAUUUCCAUUUUUCUUUUGUAAGCUAAGUAUUUAUGGAACCGCCCUUGCAUAUAAUAGCCGUGGCAGAUUCAACUAAACCGCUUGCUAGCAACCACAUUUGGAAAUGUGUUUAUAGUGCUCCGUUAUACACCGUUAGACAUGCCUGCAAUCGCGGUAACACCACGACUAACGAACGUCUCCUCGCGUAUAUUAUAAAUACCUGAAUACCUCUGUAUGUAUGUAUGUAGGUAUGCAGCCACAGCAGUUAAAGAGAUGUGGUGGCGCGAGUUAGCGGCACGUAAUCAUUCUAUGUGAUGACACAUAAAUUAGUUUUACGGCAAUUAACGAAAUGCUACGCUUCAAAGUCGGCGCCAAUGCCACAAACGUUACCGCAAAAUGGGCCCAGGGAUAAUUUCUAGUGCGACUAGGCGAGAACAUAUACAUUUAAAAGUUUAUAUGUAUUUGUUUAUGGGAGCAAUUUAGCGGCAAUGCAUUAAUGAGAGUGAAAUUUCUUAAUGGUUAUGUCUGUUUUUCUAAUGAAAAUUGGUAGCCAGAUUAAAAUUAGAUGCAGAUGAGGUAUGCAUAGCUUAAAUUGCAUUCAACAGAAAGAAAUGGAAGAGAAAGGGAAACGUUCUCAAAGGAAGAGCAUUUAUUUCAGUGCAAUAAUCAAUGGCGGUAGUGGAUUACGCGGAAAUAUCAUCUGGGGUUUCGAUUCGAAGGUUCCAAGUCCCAACAAAGCUUCAUCUUUUAAAGAAAUUUCUUUAAUUUUCAUCUAAAACAAAAGUGCUUGAUCUUGCAAUCUAAUAUCAAACUCAAAUUGAAGGCAUUGAGCCUUCUCAUGCUAAAAAAUUAUCAGCCAAAGGUGAAGAUAGUCUUGCCUUGAUACAAAGCGGUUAUAAUGCAAAUAGUUAUUUGAACACGGCGUCUAUGGCAACCAGAGUUGUGCAAAAACUCAAACUAACUUGAUAGGACCAAUUACAUCAUAUAAUCUACAGUCAUUUCAGGAGCUCAUAAAUCGAGUAACAAAUCCACUAAGGGUUGACACACAUCCGGAAAAUUAAUGGAAUAGAAAGACAAUACGUCUGAAAUAAAACUGCAGUUAAGAUCACACUUAUGAAUAAAAAUUUCUGAUUUUAUUCGUAUACAAUCUGGCAAUAUCUUCUUCUUUGUUCCGUUUGUCUAACUUUGUUAAUAUCUCACAAGUACGGACUAGAAAUGCCAGAGUUCCUAACUACUGAGGUAAGCUAAAUGUUAUGACCAAUACUGUUGGAAUCGUGCCGUAAAAUAACCUACCAAAAUUAGAAUAUCGUACCAAACAAAUAGGUAAAGAAGAAGUAUAUACAUACAUAAACAGUCAACGUAUGAACUACAUAUGUAUACAUAAUACAUACUCAACACUUUAAUCAUAGCAUUUUAACGAUUUGGAGAAUAUGCCGAUCUUGUCAACUAUACUAAAUAAUUUUGAAAAAUAGUGUAAGCACUUUCCCGCAUUAGUUAAUCUGAUUCGGGCUGCGUAUAUGUGUUUAUCAUACUAUCCUAUGAAAUAUAUAUCCUCAAGUCCAUAGAAGUAGCACAGCUGUAGAAAAUCACAAGAAUAACAAUAUGCAAAUAUGUACUUAUAUUGUUUGGCCUAAGCAGGCAAUAACCCUGCUGGAAAAUGAAUUAGGCUGUUUUAGAGAUAUUGACUUUCCUAGAGUGAUAAUUGUCGAACCAGCUCAGGAUCGGAUUCAAAAGGAAACAAACUGUAUAUAUAAAUUAUAUAGCAUAUAAUUUUGAGCGAAAACUGUUUUCAGAUGAAAUUAAAACUAUCUUCUUUGGUUUGACUACAACUGGCAUGGAAUUUGACUUACUGAAAGUCUCGUUUAAAAAACUUCAACAAUAGGCAGUUAUGAUCUCUUAAAGUCAUUACUUAUUUUUGCUAUAUUGCUUUUAUUCCAUAC